GAUGAACGCUGGCGGCGUGCCUAAUACAUGCAAGUCGAGCGAACAGACGAGGAGCUUGCUCCUCUGACGUUAGCGGCGGACGGGUGAGUAACACGUGGAUAACCUACCUAUAAGACUGGGAUACCUUCGGGAAACCGGAGCUAAUACCGGAUAAUAUAUUGAACCGCAUGGUUCAAUAGUGAAAGACGGUUUUGCUGUCACUUAUAAAUGGAUCCGCGCCGCAUUAGCUAGUUGGUAAGGUAACGGCUUACCAAGGCAACGAUGCGUAGCCGACCUGAGAGGGUGAUCGGCCACACUGGAACUGAGACACGGUCCAGACUCCUACGGGAGGCAGCAGUAGGGAAUCUUCCGCAAUGGGCGAAAGCCUGACGGAGCAACGCCGCGUGAGUGAUGAAGGUCUUCGGAUCGUAAAACUCUGUUAUUAGGGAAGAACAAAUGUGUAAGUAACUAUGCACGUCUUGACGGUACCUAAUCAGAAAGCCACGGCUAACUACGUG
rnacentral:rRNA from 1 species